rnacentral:rRNA from 1 species
CCUACGGGAGGCUGCAGUGAGGAAUAUUGGUCAAUGGACGAGAGUCUGAACCAGCAAAGUAGCGUGAAGGAUGACUGCCCUAUGGGUUGUAAACUUCUUUUAUAAAGGAAUAAAACGAGGCACGUGUGCCUUUUUGCAUGUACUUUAUGAAUAAGGAUCGGCUAACUCCGUGCCAGCAGCCGCGGUAAUACGGAGGAUCCGAGCGUUAUCCGGAUUGAUUGGGUUUAAAGGGAGCGUAGAUGGGUUGGUAAGUCAGUUGUGAAAGUUUGCGGCUCAACCGUAAAAUUGCAAUUGAUACUGGCAGUCUUGAGUACAGUUGAGGUAGGCGGAAUUCGUGGUGUAGCGGUGAAAUGCUUAGAUAUCACGAAGAACCCCGAUUGCGAAGGCAGCUUACUAAACUGUGACUGACAUUGAUGCGCGAAAGUGUGGGUAUCAAACAGGAUUAGAUACCCGGGUAGUC